GGGUUAUGGAUUUACCCAUCUGGUCACGUAUUUAUCCGUCCAGUUGUGGGUUUAUCAGUGCGGUUGUAGAUCUAUCGGUUAUGGGUUUAAUGCUCCACUCAUGGACUUAUAGGUCCGGCCAGGGCUUAUCGGUCCGGUCAUGGCUUUAUUGGUUAUGGGUUCAGAGACCUGGGCAUGGGUUUAUCGGUCCAGUUAUGGGUUUAUCGGUCCAGUUAUGGGUUUAUUGGUCCAGUCAUGGGUUUAUUGACCCAGUUAUGGGUUUAUCAAUCCAGUUAUGGGUUUAUUGACCCAGUUAUGGGUUUAUUGAUCUAGUAAAGGGUUUAUUGGUCCAGUCAUGGGUUUAUCGAUCCAGUUAUGGGUUUAUCAAUCCAGUCAUGGGUUUAUUGAUCCAGUUAUGGGUUUAUUGAUCCAGUUAUGGGUUUAUCGGUCCAGUUAUGGGUUUAUUGAUCCAGUUAUGGGUUUAUCGAUCCAGUAAUGGGUUUAUUGAUCCAGUUAUGGGUUUAUCGGUCCAGUUAUGGGUUUAUCGAUCCAGUAAUGGGUUUAUCGAUCCAGUAAUGGGUUUAUUGAUCCAGUUAUGGGUUUAUCGGUCCAUUCAUGGGUUUCUCCACCCGGUUAUGGAUUAUUGGCCCAUGACGGCUGUGUAGGUCCGGUCAUGGCUUUAUCGGGUCCGGUUAUGGAUUUACCCAUCAGCUCCCGGAUCCAACGGUCCAUCUGGGGGUUGGUUGGUUGGGUUGUGGGUUUAUCGGUCCAGCCGUGAGUUUAUCCCUUUGGAUAUGGAUUUAUCAGUCCGGUUAUGGGUUUAUCCAUCCGGUCACGGAUUGAUCGGUCCCAUUAUGGAUUUGUAGGUCCGGUUAUGGGUUUAUCCAUCCGGUCACGGAUUGAUCGGUCCCAUUAUGGAUUUGUAGGUCCAGCCAUGGAUUUGUAGGUCCGGUUAUGGGUUUAUCCAUCCGGUCACGGAUUGAUCGGUCCCAUUAUGGAUUUGUAGGUCCGGUUAUGGGUUUAUCUCUCCGGUUAUGGAUGAUUUACGGCUCUGAGGGUGUGGGGUUGGGCGACACACGGAGCACUGAUGCGCUUUUGAGGUUUCUUUGGCCUCAGCGCUGGCACAGCCCUUCGUCCCAUGGCCGAGGUUGGGGUUGACCCCUCGGUGGCUGCGGAGCCGACACAGCGCCGCCCCAUUGGGGUGGAUGUGGGCUCAGGGUUGGGGGGUGGGGGGGGACGGCGGUGCCAUCGGUCGGUGCUGCAGAGUGGGGCUGAGCCGUGCCGGGAGCCAUGGACUGCUCCAUCGGCGGCCCCGAUCAGCCCCAAUCAGCCCCAAUCAGCCCCACUCAGCCCCAAUCAGCCCCGAUCAGCCCCGAUCAGCCCCAAUCAGCCCCACUCAGCCCCAAUCAGCCCCGAUCAGCCCCGAUCAGCCCCAAUCAGCCCCACUCAGCCCCAAUCAGCCCCGAUCAGCCCCAAUCAGCCCCGAUCAGCCCCACUCAGCCCUGAUCAGCCCCGAUCAGCCCCGGAGUGGGGCCGAUACCCGAAGGACCAUUUCGGUUCCCGGGAAGAAGAAAUGUUUCAUUGAGGGCCCCCAUCACGGCGGGGUGUGGGGCUGGAGAAGGGGACCCCCCCCCUGGGCACGGCCCGUGGCACCGCACGCCGGUGGUUUUGGGGCGCCCCCGCCCUGGGGAGGGGUUUGGGGUUACCCCCGGCACUGCUGCUUUUCCGGAGGUGCUGCGGUGGGGAAAACGAAAGCAGUGGGUGCCGAUGCGUGGCGGGGCACAGUGUGUGGGGGGGGGGCUCUCCUGCAGCCCCCCAUAUCCCCCCCUCACUUCGGGUGGGGUUGGGCCCCGCGGCGCUCACACACGGCCCCGUUUCCCCCGCGCUGCCUCAGUUUCCCCAUCUGCAACGUGGGGGUGAAGGGUCCCAACCCCCCCCCCAUUAAAAGCCC
ensembl:lncRNA